rnacentral:lncRNA from 1 species
GUUGUAAUACAGAAAUACCUUUAAAAGCUGUUCCAGUACACAGAAGUGGAAGUGUGUUAUACACGUGUGAUCAUGAUGCUUUUGCAAACAUUAGAUUGUGUAUUAUGAGAAAACUACUGUUGGUACAAAUUUGUUAAUUAUGUGGACAUAAAGCUUAACUCAGCUUGUGGUAUCAGGAGUAGUCAAGGGGGUGUUAAAUGAAAUAGAUAACAUGCAGUAAAAGCAAGAGAUUUUUUUUUUACUUAGAAUUAUGCAUCCAGAAUAGAAAACUCCCAUUUCUAAAGUCAUUCGGUUUUUGUCCCUGGCUGAAUUUUAAAAAACACCGUGCAGAAAGCGGGCGUAUGGUGGAAUAAAAAAGUCAUAUUAAUGUGAGUCUUCAAGGAAAAAGUAAACAUAUGUAUUGAUCUCUCAAACCUCAUCAGGGAGGAGAUGAUCAGAAGAAAAAAGGAAAACAUAAAGAUAAAAAAAAUUUUUCAAAAAACUCAAAUUCUCUCUCUCUCUCUUUCUCUCUCUUUUGUUAAAUCUGUCUUCCUCCCUCUGGCAGUACCGAAGUGUAAUAAGCGAUCCACAACUUUGGCACUGUCUCCAGGGUGACAUCGUGAUAGAAUACAGCCACCCACUCAUAGAAAAUGCCUUAUAUCUCCUUUAAUAAACACUUCAAAUCUAAAAGCAUUGAUAAUUAUAACAAUAAUAAUAAUUAAAGUGAACUGGAGGUGCUGCAAUGGAACCUGUAGUAUUUGUUCCAAGAGCCUCAGUAUUUGGAAAGACUUUUUAGUGUGUCUACCUCUCUCCCAUUAUCAGUUGUGUA